CAAGCAAGCCAAGGACCAUAUGUUUUUUGUGUUACACUUUCAGCAUCUAAGCUUAUUAUAUUCAACACAAGGAGAAAGUCCCCGGAAAACAAAAUAUCUUCUGUCCAAUGAUUAAAGAUUAGGGCAGUGGGGUAUUUAGUAAAGCAACUUUGUUGUUGUUUUUUUCAUAAUAAAAGUAAUAUGGUCACCCUAUAAUAAUGGGGCAACUUAAUGGGGCUUACUCUGGCUUGUUU
rnacentral:RNase_MRP_RNA from 2 species